rnacentral:rRNA from 1 species
AGCGAACGUUUGCGGCGGGCUUAACACAUGCAAGUCGAACGGGCUGUUCCUUCGGGGGCAGUCAGUGGCGCACGGGUGCGUAACACGUAGGUAAUCAACCCUCUGGUUGGGGAUAACACUUCGAAAGGAGUGCUAAUACCCGGUAUGGCGCAGCGGUCUUCGGAUCGCGGCGAGAAAGACCCGCAAGGGUUGCCAGAGGACGAGCCUGCGGCCCAUCAGCUAGUUGGCGAGGUAACGGCUCACCAAGGCGAAGACGGGUAGCUGGUCUGAGAGGAUGAUCAGCCACACUGGAACUGAGACACGGUCCAGACUCCUACGGGAGGCAGCAGUGGGGAAUAUUGCGCAAUGGGCGAAAGCCUGAUCCAGCCAUGCCGCGUGAGUGAAGAAGGCCU